rnacentral:rRNA from 1 species
GUGCAUGAAGUUGGAAUCGCUAGUAAUCGCGGAUCAGCACGCCGCGGUGAAUACGUUCCCGGGCCUUGUACACACCGCCCGUCACACCAUGGGAGUUGGUUUUACCCGAAGGCGUUCUGUUAACUCAGCAAUGAGAGGCGGACGACCACGGUAGGGUCAGCGACUGGGGUGAAGUCGUAACAAGGUAGCCGUAGGGGAACCUGCGGCUGGAUCACCUCCUUUCUGG